AAAUCUUUCACCUCCUAUUUAAGAAGAUAGUGUAGUAUCUGUUCUUAUCUGUUUAAUAUCUGAUACGUGGGCCAUCAGUCCACAUAAUAUUAAAUUAAAUUUUUUAGGGGGAGAGCCCAUUACAAUAGCUUGCUACUGGGGCUCUUGCGUGUCGCCCAAGCGUUGCACUACAGCUCGGGGUUGGCACACCCCAC
rnacentral:snRNA from 2 species